UACAGAGGUCCCAAGCGUUGUUCGGAUUCACUGGGCGUAAAGCGUGCGCAGGCGGUUCGUUGUGUCGGCGGUGAAAGCCCCGGGCUUAACCUGGGAAUGGCCGUUGAAACUGGCGAACUGGAGUGUGGCAGAGGGGGGUGGAAUUCCGCGUGUAGCAGUGAAAUGCGUAGAGAUGCGGAGGAACACCGAUGGCGAAGGCAGCCCCCUGGGCUAACACUGACGCUCAGGCACGAAAGCGUGGGGAGCAAACAGG
rnacentral:rRNA from 1 species